rnacentral:rRNA from 1 species
UACGGAGGGGGGCUAGCGUUGUUCGGAAUUACUGGGCGUAAAGCGCACGUAGGCGGCUUUGUAAGUUAGAGGUGAAAGCCCAGAGCUCAACUCUGGAACUGCCUUUAAGACUGCAUCGCUUGAAUCAUGGAGAGGUUAGUGGAAUUCCGAGUGUAGAGGUGAAAUUCGUAGAUAUUCGGAAGAACACCAGUGGCGAAGGCGACUUACUGGACACAUAUUGACGCUGAGGUGCGAAAGCGUGGGGAGCAAACAGG